rnacentral:rRNA from 1 species
CUACGGGGGGCUGCAGUGGGGAAUAUUGCACAAUGGAGGAAACUCUGAUGCAGCAACGCCGCGUGGAGGAUGACGCAUUUCGGUGUGUAAACUCCUUUUAUAUGUCAAGAAAAUGACGGUAGCAUAUGAAUAAGCACCGGCUAACUCCGUGCCAGCAGCCGCGGUAAUACGGAGGGUGCAAGCGUUACUCGGAAUCACUGGGCGUAAAGGACGCGUAGGCGGGUUGGAAAGUCAGGUGUGAAAUCCUACAGCUUAACUGUAGAACUGCACUUGAAACUUCUAAUCUAGAGUAUGGGAGGGGGAGAUGGAAUUAGUGGUGUAGGGGUAACAUCCGUAGAUAUCACUAGGAAUACCUAAAGCGAAGGCGAUCUCCUGGAACAUUACUGACGCUAAGGCGUGAAAGCGUGGGGAGCAAACAGGAUUAGAUACCCCAGUAGUC